AUGAACGCUGGCGGCGUGCCUAAUACAUGCCAGUCGAGCGAACAGACGAGGAGCUUGCUCCUCUGACGUUAGCGGCGGACGGGUGAGUAACACGUGGAUAACCUACCUAUAAGACUGGGAUAACUUCGGGAAACCGGAGCUAAUACCGGAUAAUAUAUUGAACCGCAUGGUUCAAUAGUGAAAGACGGUUUUGCUGUCACUUAUAGAUGGAUCCGCGCCGCAUUAGCUAGUUGGUAAGGUAACGGCUUACCAAGGCAACGAUGCGUAGCCGACCUGAGAGGGUGAUCGGCCACACUGGAACUGAGACACGGUCCAGACUCCUACGGGAGGCAGCAGUAGGGAAUCUUCCGCAAUGGGCGAAAGCUUGACGGAGCAACGCCGCGUGAGUGACGAAGGUCUUCGGAUCGUAAAACUCUGUUAUUAGGGAAGAACAAAUGUGUAAGUAACUAUGCACGUCUUGACGGUACCUAAUCAGAAAGCCACGGCUAACUACGUG
rnacentral:rRNA from 1 species